CUACGGGUUGCUGCAGUAGGGAAUCUUAGACAAUGGGGGAAACCCUGAUCUAGCCAUGCCGCGUGAGUGAUGAAGGCCUUAGGGUUGUAAAGCUCUUUCGCUGGGGAAGAUAAUGACGGUACCCAGUAAAGAAACCCCGGCUAACUCCGUGCCAGCAGCCGCGGUAAUACGGAGGGGGUUAGCGUUGUUCGGAAUUACUGGGCGUAAAGCGCGCGUAGGCGGGCUAUUAAGUCAGGGGUGAAAUCCCGGGGCUCAACCCCGGAACUGCCUUUGAUACUGGUAGUCUUGAGUUCGAGAGAGGUGAGUGGAAUUCCGAGUGUAGAGGUGAAAUUCGUAGAUAUUCGGAGGAACAUCAGUGGCGAAGGCGACUCACUGGCUCGAUACUGACGAUGAGGUGCGAAAGUGUGGGGAGCAAACAGGAUUAGAUACCCCAGUAGUC
rnacentral:rRNA from 1 species